rnacentral:lncRNA from 1 species
CUGUCUAUAACCACCUACACACUCGAAAGCAAAGAAACAAACCCUAGCGGCCUUAUCAAUGGUCGACUCCUCAAACAAAACCCGGCGACUUCGCCGGAACUUGAGGAAUAGGCCCAGAGAAGCAAAGAAACAAACCCUAUCAAAGUCAGAAUCCUCAAACAAAACACUGCAAGGUUGCCGGAACUGGAUCGACCUUCCGGACGACGUCACGUCACCGCUUCGAUUCUGUCACGUCUGUCAAUGUUCGAUAUCCUAGAGACAGCUCAGAGGGUGUGCCUGACAUGGCGCCAGAUCUGCAAGGACCCUCUGACGUGGCGUACCAUUUGCAUGGAGUUCGAUAUUCAACUGAUCAGCCAACAAAAGAUCGAUGGAAAUUUCACUUCCGACAAAGAAAAAGAGCAUCUGCGUAAGUUCCAUAACUUGAAUGCACAUAAGAUGUGACACCACGCCAUUCAUCUUGGCUGUGGCAAUCUCGUAGAUAUCAAUAUCAAGAACUGUGGCUCAGAUGAUCUCCUUCAGUAUACGACUGAUAGGUAUUCAAUUUCUUUUUUAGAAUUAUAUAUAAUAUAAUUCUGCAUUUUGGAUUUUUCAUGUUUCUUAUUUAUGGUUGAAGUAGAUUUUGUUCAAGCUAGUGCCAUUUAUUUGUAAUGACUAACAUAUUCAUCUUUUCAAUAGUUCGAGGGGAAUCAGACGUCUAAGUAAUGUGUUUUCAGAUUGGAUAACAACGGAGGGACUGAAUAAAGUGGCUUCGAAGCUUCCACUGUUGGAGGAUCUUGAAAUCUCUUACACUCCACAGAGUAGUCUAUACACCGAAGAGGACGGCUCUAAAUAUCUUAAAAUCUUUGGCCAUUUUUGCCCUUUUUGAAAUCUUUGAAAUUAAACAAGUACCAAGAGAAUUUCUUCACAGGCAAAGACAAUGGUGAUGCAUUUGCCAUAACCGGAACAAUGCAUCGCUUACAAAACCUCCAGCUUUGUGGAAAUUGGUUGACCUAUAAAGGUUUGCAUGCCAUUCUUGAAGGUUGUCCCCCGUCUUGAGUCACUUGAUCGCCGUCAAUGUAUACAUCUUCGGCAUCUGAAUAGUGAGGGAUGGGGAUGGUACGGCGCCAGGCUUGAAGGUUGCUCGGAAGAUUUGAAAAGAAGAUGUUUUGAACAAAUAAAAAAACUGCGGCUUCCUGACGAUUCUACAGAUGACAAUGAGCAUAUUGGCAUUCAUGAAAUUGUUGAAAGACGAUUCAGAGAAUAUAUUAUAAAGAUUAAUGAUGAUUGAAUGAUCUAGGCUAGAUAUAGAUCAGAUAUAUUUUUGAAUCAUUUAAUAGAUAUUGAUGAAAGCAUGCAUGUAUAAUUUUUUUUUUUUUAAAUGGGAUUUUCUGAAUGUCUAGCUCCUUGUAUGCAUGCUUUCCAGGCUGACUUGCAGUAACUUUGGUGCAUGCUAUUUUUAGAAAAACAAACUUCAUCAGCUAAAGUGAGCAUGAAUCACCACAGCAUAUACAAUCCUUAAUUUACAUAAUUUUGUUCCAAAAAAUAAUAAUAAUUUGCAUAAUUUUUUUAUAUUUAAAUGAUCCUGAUAACUAUGAAUGAAUGCUACAGUCAAAGAGAGAACCAUAUCGACUACAAAUAAAACCUCCAACAAGUUUGGGAGGGUGUCCUAAACAAGCAAACCCUACCAAUGGCCGAACCCUCAAACAAAACCGAGCGGCAAGACGGAAAUCAAAACCCCCGGAGCUGGAUCGACCUCCCAGAAGACGUCACCGCUUCGAUACUAUUACGGCUGGGAACGAUCGAGAUCCUGGUGACCGCUCUGAACGUGUGUACGACAUGGCGCAGAAUCUGCAAGGAAUCUAGAAUGUGGCACACCAUCGACAUCUGCGAUGUUUCGGUUUAUGGCAAGUUGCCCUCACGAUACCCCAUGGACAGGAUGUGUAGGAAAGCCAUUGAUCUCACCUGUGGCAACCUCGUCAAUAUCAGUGUGCACAACUUUGGCUCCGAUGAUCUCCUCAAGUAUAUCACUGAUAGGUACUGUAAUUUUCUACAAGUUAUAUGCAUGUUGAAGUUUUUUUAUUAUCUAAUAUCGUCAUCAGUAAGUGUUUAUGUUGAUUUGGAUUUUGGAUUUUGGAUCUUGUUCGAGUUGUACCCAUGUUCAUUCAUAUAUAAACCUUUUCCUGUGUUUUUUUUUUUGGAUAAAUUAACCCUUUUCCAAUAGUUGUAGGGAAUCAAGCGGCUCUGUUUUGAGUUUUCUGACAUAACAAAUUAUGGACUGAUUGAAGCGGCUCCGAAGCUCCCGCAGUUGGAGUACCUUGAACUAUCACAAGGCAACUACAUAUUCGAUAAUCCUCCCUUCAAUCACAUACGACAUGCCUAUCUUGAAGUGAUUGGCCGUUGUUGCCCUCGUUUGAAAUCACUGAAAUUGAAGGAGUACAACACUGACUGGUUUUUUGAUGGAUGGGAUGGCGAUGCACUUGCUAUUGCAGAAACAAUGCAUGGUCUACACCACCUCCAUCUUUUGGGAGAUAAGAUCACUAGCAAAGGCUUGCGCGCCAUUCUUGAUGGCUGUCCGCUGCUUGUGUCACUUGAUCUGCGUCAUUGUUGGCAUAUUGAUCUGGAUCCGGAGCGCGAAGAAUUGCAAAGAUGCAUUGACCAAAUUGAAAACUUGCGGCUUCCUCAUGAUUCUACACAUGACUAUGAACGUCUUGCCGCGCAAAAAAGAAACUAAGAACUGGGAAGGAUAAUUACAUAGCCGGAAACAGUCUCCAAAUCUCCAAGCACUUCAGUUAAUUUGUACUGCUUAAGUAUUGAGAACAUAUUAUAAAUUUGGGUUAUUUAGUCAAUAGUUGCUGCUAUAUCAGCUUCUGCUUGAACUGAAUCUAAUUGUGGGAAAGCAGGUUGUCGUUAUAUAUGAUGGUCGAUCACCAAUUCAUGUUACAAAAUGUCAAAAUGUCAUUGCAACCUAUUCAAUCAAACCACUCUGAGAAGAAAAUUUAAAACUAGUAGCCGGGAAGAAGCGAUACCCCAGCUUGCUUCAAAAGUGGUUAAUUUAAGGGGAACUAGAUAGCACUUUCAAGGAAGUAGACUCUAGUUGAAGCAUACAUAGAAAAACUACUUGUCCUUAGAUUGUAAAGGUUUUUUGUUUUUGCGCAACUGAUCAAGUUUUACAAUAAAAGACAAUGUUACUACAUAUUAGAGGUGACAAAGCCUAUUCAUGCUACUUUGCAGAUUAAGCAAAGGUGCUGGUAAAUGAUGAAGAAUUUGUCUUCCGUCAAGGAGAAAUUACUCCAUUGUCGCAGAUCUUGUUCUAAGAUGGCCCGCUGCGCCAGACCCUUUCUUCUUCAGUUGAUCAUGGUGGAUCAUAGAACUAUGGAAAUAAAUAGUCAAACGGUUCCAAGAGAAUAUGAAUUUUGUGAUAUAUUGAACAUCCUCCAAGAAUGGAGCAUAUAUACAAGAUUACAUAAAACCUUAAUAGGAAACUAAUUACACAAGGCUAUUACCAAAUUUUAUCAAAAAAAAAAAAAGAAAAAAAAAAGAAUAUUACCAAAUAUUCCUACCAAUACAGAAAAUACACAAUCCUAAUACUGCAUAGACUGACUCACGUUAACAGGCCCAAUAAAGGUUCAGAAGAAACCCUAGCGGCCUUAUCAAUGGCCGGGUCCUCCACCAAAACCCGGCGACGUCGCCGGAACUUGAGGAAUAGGCCCAGAGAAGCAAAGAAGCAAACCCUAACAGAGUCAGAAUCCUCAAACAAAACACUGCAAGGUUGCCGGAACUGGAUCGACCUUCCGGACGACGUCACGUCACCGCUUCGAUUCUGUCACAUCUGUCAAUGUUCGAUAUCCUAGAGACAGCUCAGAGGGUGUGCCUGACAUGGCGCCGGAUCUGCAAGGACCCUAUGACUUGGCGCACCAUCCGCAUGGAGUUCGAU